rnacentral:rRNA from 1 species
UACGUAGGCAGCGAGCGUUGUUCGGAAUUACUGGGCGUAAAGGGCGCGUAGGCGGCCUGUUAAGUCGAACGUGAAAUCCCCGGGCUCAACCCGGGAACUGCGUCCGAUACUGGCAGGCUUGAAUCCGGGAGAGGGAUGCGGAAUUCCAGGUGUAGCGGUGAAAUGCGUAGAUAUCUGGAGGAACACCGGUGGCGAAGGCGGCAUCCUGGACCGGCAUUGACGCUGAGGCGCGAAAGCCAGGGGAGCAAACGGG